rnacentral:rRNA from 1 species
AUGAUGAGCAGCGCUGGGAAUCCGAAGAGAAAAGCCAUGUGCCGGUCGGUGUGGCUCCGGCGGCAGCGAGCCAAAACGAAUUAUCAUGGACCGAGGCUUUCAUUAGCUGCAACGAAGUGUCCACCUUGCCAAGAACAUGACAAUCCAGAGGUUGCCAAAGACACUAUACAAGUGAUUGAGCUUGGUAAAUUUCCCGAGGAUAUCUUGCAUCACAUACACUCCCUUGUGCCACUGCGAGAUGCUGCUCGUGCUGCCUGUGUCUCUCGUAGAUUUUUACGCUCAUGGAAAUGCUUUCCUAACCUUACAUUCAAUUGGAAAACAUUGGGGUUGAAUAUGCAAGAGGGCACGCCAUAUGAUAGAGCAAAGAAAAUUGUGGACAGAAUCUACCACAUACUCAAAAACCACUCUGGCAUUGGGGUGAAGAUACUUAAGCUCCAAGUUCAUUCAUGCAGCAAUGUUAUCACGGCUAACCUUCUUGGCAUUUGGCUUGAAACUGCUGUUAAGUCUGGAAUCGUAGAACUUGCUGUGGACCUUCCUCAAGAUCAAAGUGCGAAGUACGACUUUCCAUGUUCGGUUUUAUCUUGUGCCGCAAGCUCAAUUCAGUCUCUCGCCCCCUCAGCUUGUGCUUUUCGUCCGACAAUUAUAAUUGACUGCUUCAGAAACUUGAAAAGUCUAUGUCUGAAACUUGUUCUCAUUACUGAGGAGGAACUAGGAUGCUUCUUCUCCUGUACAAUUUCUUUAGAAAAGUUGGAAGUUUCCCAGUGCAAUGAGAUCACUUUCUUGAAGAUACCUUCUCAUCUGCAGCAGCUUUGUAUCCUGCGGGUGUUUCUAUGCCAAAAGCUGCAGGUGGUAGAAAUUUAUGCUCCAAAGGUAGCCACGUUUAUGUUCCGUGGGCCGCCGACGAAAAUAUCAAUCACCAACCCGUCUCAACUGAAGAUCAUGACUAUGGAUGGUUCAUUUUAUGCUGGCAUGUUCCACCAUGCUCUGACCAAGCUUCAUUCCAUCACGUCGAAUCUUCACACACUUGUCUUGUGCUCAUCUAGAGAGGCCUUCAAUACUCCAGCGUCAGCUGCCAAAUUCCUCCAGCUGAGGCACUUGAAGAUUUAUUGUUGUAGCAGUCAAUUUGAAAGCUUUGAUUUUUUAUCUCUGAUUUCCUUUCUCGAAGCUUGUCCUGUGCUGGAAACUUUCUUCUUAUCGGUAAGUCGACAUUAUUUAAGGCCAGAGCCAACUUCCCAAAAGUUGGAUGUGGAUUCUUGGCAUAUCAGGAAGAUUCCUGGAUUCCGCCAUGACAAGCUCAAGAAAGCAUCCAUCACUGGAAUCAACUCGUCAAAGAGCUUGAUUGAGCUAACAUGUCAAAUUCUUAAGAAUUCCUCAUCACUAGAAUGCCUUGUGCUCGACACUACUAGUGGUUAUGGUAAUUCAGGCAUAUGUGGAAAUAUGGAUAGAGAAGCAGUCAUGGAUGCCCUUGAAGGUGUCAAGGCUAUCAAAAGACAUGUUGAGGGGCAAGUUCCCGACGGUGUUAAUGUCGAGGUUUUGAAGCCCUGUGAUCGGUGCCAUAUUUCCAAACUCUGA